rnacentral:lncRNA from 1 species
GUGACCUUUCCGAGCUGUGGCCAAGUACCCACCGUUCGGGGGCCGCUCAGGAGCUUGGCUGGCCGCGGGGCGCCCCCGCCGGCCGCGGCCGCCACGGCAGCCACCUUCGCUUGCGUCACCAGGUGACAACCCCGGUCCGGCAAACAGGCUGUUCCAGUGUCCUCUUCGCUCCGCAUGGUCACUAACGAUUGCAGCAUAUGUGCCGGUGCUGCUAUUGUGAAAUCGCUGUGGAACGAGGAUGAGGAGGAGGAGGAAGAGGAGGAAAGAUCGCUACCAGCUGCCUUGUGGGGAGAGCUACCGCUGCCCUUCUUCCCUCAUAGCUCAUCCCCUGUCUUUGGCACACUGAGAUUUGGGAAUGAUUUGUCCUGUUGUAAAGAGAAGACGCCAAAAGCGAGAGCUGUGGAUUUGGAGAAGUGGACGCUGAUAACCCCUGUCCCACACCUGAGAUGUCCCUGCUACCCCCCGAGGCCACCACCAGUUCAGUUUCUGAGUAAGAAAGAGAGAGAGGACAAUGAGAAAAGAAGAACAGAUCUUCAGUUCCAGAUCAAUACAUCGAACAUCCGUGUGAGGCGGAAUCUGAAGUUGCUGAUGGAUCACUAUCUGCCUGGCUUCAAGGAAACAGCUGCGUGCCUGACCCUGCCAGACAGGGUGAAGCGCGCGCCAGGGACGACCCCAAGAAGAACCGUCUCCUCCGACGUUUUCAAAAGGCUGUCUACACCCAGAGCAAGGGCGCUGUCCCCGUCUCCCCGGCGUGCUGCAGCCUGUGACUCCGCUGGCCACGGGGCGGCCGCAGGGACCGUGGCCCACGGCUCCAGGACGGUCGGAGGGGGCAAAGCCACAAAAGCAAGAAAGGUGCCGAAGCAGCGGGUCGCGAAGCAGCUCCGCUUUCCCCCCAGCCCGGCGCCCGUCCCAGCCUCGCCGCCGACUCGCUGUGGUGCAGAGGGCUGAAAAAUCGGGGUGGCUUCAAUUCCGCAGGAAUAAAAGGGGACUAAUAAACACAGCCUGGCUCGUUCUUGCUGUGGAUGG